rnacentral:rRNA from 1 species
AUGUGGUUGCCGGAGGUUCUGCCGGAGGGCUCUUACAAAAGGUCAUAUCAGCAGCUCAGCAAAAGCAAAGAGGUCGAGGCCUAUGCCCACGCCUCCUGUUGUCGUCAUGACCACAGGCGACUUCUACGUAGGUGGACAAAGCAAGACAACAUCAUUGGUGGCUUUCAGCUCCUUUUCCCUUCAAGUUUUUGUUUUUCUCCAAUAUCUUAG